GAGUCGUUAGCUCAGUCGGUAGAACAGUUGACUUUUAAAUCAAUGGGUCGCAGGUUCGAGCCGAGCGAAGCGAGACAACAGCGCGUAAGCGCUGACCCGAAGGGCGAGGCCACAGGCCGAGUCAUCCUGCACGACCCACCA
rnacentral:tRNA from 1 species